rnacentral:rRNA from 1 species
UGAGAGCACUGUAGUAAAUAUUGAGGUUCGGAUUAUGCCUGAUUGAACGCUGGCGGAUGCUUUACACAUGCAAGUCGAACGGCAGCACGGACUUCGGUCUGGUGGAAGAGUGGCGAACGGUGAGUAAUGUAUCGGAACGCCUAGUAGCGGGGGAUAAUUGCGCGAAAGGUAGCUAAUACCGGGCAUUGCCCUUCGUGUAGGCGGGGACCUUCGGGCCUCGCACUAUUAGAGCGGCCGAUAUCGGACAGUUAGGUUGCGGGUAACGGUCACUCAAGGCGACGAUCCGUAGCUGAGCCGAGAGACGACCAGCCACACUGGGAGAUCAAAGCCCAGACUCGCAUGGGAGGCAGCAGUGGGGAAUUCUUGACAAUGGGGGAAACCCUGAUCCAGCCAUCCCCAUGCGGGUGAUGGCCUUCGUUGUGAAAAGCACCUUUGGCAGGAGAAAACGGCACGGGAUAAUACCCCGUGCAACUGACGGUAUUCUGCAGAAUAAGACCGGCUAACGCAUUACGUGCCAGCAGCCGCGGUAAUACGUAGGGCAAAAAGCGUUAAUCGAACACGGGCGUAAAGCGUGCGCAGGCGGUCUGAAAGAAAGAUGUAAAUCCCCAGAGCGAACUUGGAACUGCAUUUUUAACUACCGAGCUAGAGUGUGUGUCAGGAGGGAGGUGAAUUCCGCGUAGCAGUGAAUGCGUGACAUGCGGAGGAACACCGAUGGCGAAGGCAGCUCUGAUAAUACUGACGCCACCAUGCACGAAAGCGUGGGGAGCAAACAGGAUUAGAUACCCUGGUAGUCCACGCCCUAAACGAUGUCAACUAGCUGCUGGGGCCUUCGGGCACACGGUAUGCAGCUGGAACGGGUGAAGUUGACCGCCUGGGAGUACGGUCGCAAGAUUAAACCAAAGGAAUUGAAUGGGGACCGCACAAGUGUGGAUGAUGUGGAUUAAUCGAUGCAACGCGAAAACCUUACCUAUGGAUGCCUGGAAUCUCUUGAAGAGAUUUGGGUGAGGUUUCAAGAACCGGGAACACAGUGCUGUGCAGCUGUCGUCAGUCGCCAGAGAUGUUGUUGAGUCCCGCAACGAGCGCAACCCUUUGUCAUUAGUUACAUGAAAGGGCACUCUAAUGAGACUGCCGGUGACAAACCGAGGAAGGGAUGACGUCAAGUCCUCAUGACCCUUAUGGUAUAUUACUGCGUCAUACAAUGACGGACAGAGGGUCGCCAAACCAGGCGAGGGGGAGCCAAUCCCAGAAAAAUCCCGAUUGAAGUCCGGAUCGCAGUCUGCAACCUGACUGUGUGAAGUCGAAUCACAGGUAAUCAGAUCGCGGCGUGGCUGCGGUAGAAUUACUGGCUCCGGUCUUGUACACACCGCCCGUCACACCAUGAGGUCUUACCAGAAGUAGUUAGCCUAACCGUAAGAGGGCGAUUACCACGGUAGGAUUCAAGAUCAGUGUGAAGUCGUAACAAGGUAG